rnacentral:rRNA from 1 species
CCUACGGGUGGCAGCAGUGGGGGAUAUUGCACAAUGGGGGGAACCCUGAUGCAGCGAAGCCGCGUGGGUGAAGAAGCGCCUCGGCGCGUAAAGCCCUUUCAGCCGGGAAGAAAAUGACGGUACCUGAAGAAGAAGCCCCGGCUAACUACGUGCCAGCAGCCGCGGUAAUACGGAGGGGGCAAGGGUUAUCCGGAUUUACUGGGUGUAGAGGGGGCGCAGACGGCGGUGCGAGCCAGGAGUGAAAGCCCGGGGCCUAACCCCGGGACUGCUGUUGAAACUGGGUGGCUGGAGUGCAGGAGGGGCAGGCGGAAUUCCUGGUGUAGCGGUGAAAUGCGUAGAUAUCAGGAGGAACACCGGUGGCGAAGGCGGCCUGCUGGACUGAAACUGACGGUGAGGCCCGAAAGCGUGGGGAGCAAACAGGAUUAGAUACCCUAGUAGUC